GGGGAGUCCAGCACUGAGGGACAUCCCUACAGUAUGUGACUUUCCGGAUGUGUUUUCUGAUGAAUUGCCAGGAUUACCUCUAGAAAGAGAGGUGCAGUUUGAGAUUGAUGUUAUGCCUGGUGUGGACCCAAUCUCCAUAACACCAUAUAGAAUGGCACCAGCAGAAUUGAAGGAGUUGAAAGUGCAAUUGCAAGAUUUGCUUGACAAGGGUUUUAUCCGUCCUAGUGUCUCACCUUGGAGAGAGCCAGUAUUAUUUGUUAAGAAAAAAGAUGGCACUCUCCGCUUAUGUAUUGACUAUCGGCAGUUGAAUAAG
rnacentral:misc_RNA from 1 species